AGGGUUUGUGGAGCUCCUCAUGUCACCGCUCCAGAAGUGCUUGUAUUUGUUUUUGAAAGAUAUUUUCGUUAAGUAUAGAAGUCCAAGUUCACAAUUUUUUUUUUUGGUACUUUGAAGUUGUUGCUUCCUAUCUUCUUUCUUGCCUUAUUUCUUGCAGUUGUCUUUGCCUUUCUUCCUUUCUGUGUUUCAUGUCAUGUUUCUGGGGUUACUUUUAACAUUUUUUAGUUGUGAAUAUUUCGUUCAUACUAUGCCUUUGUGUACUUUUCUUCAUGUUUCUUGUUCUUGGAAUGUGUUGAGUUUCUUGGAUCUGUGGGCUUAUCAUUUUCAUUAACUUUGGAAAAAAUUUGACCAUUAUCUCUCCAAAUAUUUUUUUUGUUCACCCCUCUACAUCUUCUUGUUUGAGGACUCCAAUUCUACAUCAGUUAGGCCACCUGAAGUGGUUCCCCAGAUCACUGAUGCUUUGAUAAUUUUUUUGAGUGUUUUUCUCUGUUUCAUUUUGAAUGGUUUCUAUUGCUAUGUCUUCAAGUUCACUAUGCUUUCCUACUUUGAUGUAUAACCUGCUUUAAUCCCAUCCAGGGUGUUUUUCAUUUCAGACAUUGUAGUUUUCAGCUCUAGAAGUUUGAGUUGGGCCUUUUUUUUCCAGGAAGAUUAGCCCUGAGCUGACAUCUGCUGCCAAUCCUCCUCUUUUUGCUGAGUAAGACUGGCCCUGAGCUAAUAUUGGUGCCCAUUUUCCUCUACUUUACAUGUGGGACACCUAUCACAGCAUGGCUUACCAAGCAGUGCCAUGUCUGCACCCAGGAUCUGAAGCAGUGAACCCUGGGCUGCUGAAGUGGAACAUGCACACUUAACCACUGAGCCACCAGGUUGGCCCCGAGUUGGGCCUUUUUAAGGCUUCUAUAUUUCUACUUAACAUGUUCAGUUUUUCCUCCAGCUUUUUGAACAUAGUUAUAAUAAUUGUUUAUAUAUUUUAGUGUCCUUGUCUGGUAAUUCUAAUAUCUGUGUCAGUUCUGGGUCAAUCUGGUUGAUUGAUUGAUUUUAAUCCUCGUUAUGAGUUGUGUUAUUCUGCAUCUUUGGCUGCCUGGUAAGUUUUGUUUAAAUGUCAGGUAUUGUGAAUUUUAUGUUGGUGCUGGGCAUUUUUGUAAUCAUAUAAAUAUUCUUGAGUUUUGUUCUUGGAUGCAGUUAUCUUCAUAGAAAUCAUCUGAAUCUUUCAGGUCCUGCUUAGAAGGUUUGUUAGGCUGGAUGGAGCAAUGUGUAGCCUGGGGCCAAUUCUUACCCACUAUUGAAGUUAAGCUCUUCUGAAUACUCCACUCCACGAACUGUGAAUUAUGAGGCUUUCCCAUCUGGCUGGUGGGAGCAGGCAUUCUUACCAGCUCUGUGCAAAUGCUGGGUAUUUUCUUCUCUGAUCUUUUGAGUUGAUUCUUUCCUUGACCUCAGCUUCUUUCUUCAUGGAUUCUUAAUUGAAAACUCAAGGGGCACCCCCUGCAGACCUUCAGAGCUCUCUCUCUGUGCAGCUCUCUGUCUUGAGCACUCUAAUCACCUGAGUCUCUCAAGCCCAACUCCUCAACUUCCUCUCUGUGAGCCACACCUGGAAAUUCUCCCAAGACAGUAAGUUGGGGCAUUACAGGGCUCAUGUUGUUUGUUUUCCAGCUCUCAGGGAUCACUGUCCUUCACUAUCAGAUAUCCAAUAUCUUGAAAACUGUUGUUUUAUGUAUUUUGCCUUUUUUUCUGUUUCUAGAUUUUUUUUUUUCAGGCAGGAAAGGUACCUACAGUUCCUGUUACUCCAUCUUUACCAGAAGCAUACAUCCUGAUCUCAUAAUCUUUUCUUCUUGCAUUUCCUGUUGUGACUCUCUUCUCAGGGAAUGGAUCCAUCUUUCAGUCAACUCUCUAACCCAGAACAAGAGAGUCACCUAAGACUCCACCCUCUCCCACAGUCCACUUCCAUUCAGCCUUCAAAGUCUAUCCUGUCUACAUCUCUAAUCCUUCCUCUCUCUGUCUCCUCUUUUCCCUCCCCACUAGGCUAAUUCAGGCCACCAUAGACCCUUGCCUGGAUUAUUAAAUUUUCCUUUUCUCUCUUCUCAACCCCUUCACAUCCCUAUGAAAAUUCCUCUUCUUCUUGUAUUCAGUGAGUGGUAUAUUCAUCCACCAAGUUGACUAAGGUAGAAACAGAGGGCAUUCUACCUGUUUAUAUCUAGCAAGCCCAACACCUAGCCCAUUGUAGGUGCCAAAUAGAGAUGUUUCGUAGAAAUGAAUUUUACAUGUAUGAAAAGAUAUUCAACUUCAUCAUAAUAAGAAACAUACAAUUUAAAAUAUAUGAAGAUGUCUUCAUUCUUCACUGAUCAGAUAGGCAAAAAUCCAAAUGUGAUAAUACACUGUGCAGGGGAGGAUGUGGAGGAAAAGGUACUCUCAUAUGUCCCUGGUAGGAAUGUAAAUUGGUACAGUCAUGGAGGGCACUUGGCAACAUCUCUCAACCAAAACUGGAAACGUACGUACGUUUGACCCACAAUUUCACCCCAUCAGAUUCGUCUUACUGAUGUACUUGAACAAAUAUAUCCAUAAGGACAUUCAAUGCAGUAGAAGCUUGGGAGCAACCUGAACGUCCAGGAGCAGAAUACUAGUUAAAUGCAACGUGGGGCAUUCCAUGUGUGUUGAGUGGGGGUGAUCUCCACGGUGUGUUGUCAGGUGAAAGGAGCUGUGUGUGCUUCACGGCCCCUCAUGAACCCAGGCCGGGAAAGGCCACUGGUGCUUGGGGGAUGGACAUGGAAAAGAGACUUACUUUUCAUUAUAUACCUUUUUGUAGUCUUUGAGUGUUGAACAUGUACAUGUAUUAUCUAUUUCAAAGGUAAUUAUUAAAAAUGUGUUGCUGAGUUUUGUUGAAUCCCUCUAUCACCCCUCCCCCACUGCCACAACCGCCCAAUCCAGCCCUAUGGAUUUUCUACCUAAGAUUUCCUCAAAUCGGUUCCCAUUUCUCUCCAUUCUCUUUCCCAUUUCUGCCUCCUACUCUCUCGAAAGGCCUAAUUUGAAGGCCUCCUUGUCCGUGGAGUCUCCUUCAUCCCCUCCCACUGGGGCAAGUUCAGUUCUAGACAUGUUAGGUUUGGGGAGCCCGCACCACAUACUGAAUCUGGAGCUCUGGAGAGAGAUUUAGAGCAAAGAUGCAGAUUUGGGAGUCGUUAGGUACACGUCUGACUGUAUUCUUGGGCUCUUGAGUGGACUGAUGGCUACCAGAAGUGAGAGGCUUUUUGUCUGGGCCUGAGGAUUGGGACCUGCUGUUCCUGGAAUGAACUUGGGUUAUCAGGUGUAAAUUCCCCUAGGCCUUCAAUUUGAUGUUGGACUUGUGAAUAGUUGCAGGAGCUAUACAAGCACAGAGAACUGCAUCUAGCAGGAUUUCCUCUGCCUGCCCAAGGACUACGUGACAUGUGUUCUCCUCAAGGUCAGAUGUCAUCCAGCAAGCCCCUCCCAUGCCCGGCACUGUGCAGGACUUGGAAGACAGAAGGCACGUUUCCCUCCAUUGUCUCCUGGGAUGUCCGCAAGAGCUUCCAUUUGAGAAGCAGCUCCCUUCCUAACGAAACUGUUGCGUGAUGCCCUCUGAGGUCAGCAAGGGGAAGCCUACAAGAAAGGGUCAGGGGACAAGUCUGACCUGGGCUCCUUCGCUCAGUGUGGCAAAGUCCUGACAUCUCCCAGCCUGAACGUGGGGACAAAGCCUGGCGCUGCUGAGGUCUGGACUGACCAGAGGGUGUUGUUUACUAAUCAGGGUGGAGCCGUUCUGAAUGUGAACUUCAAAUGGGAAAUCUGCAGGUUUGUCCUGGAAGCCUAUUGUCACCUCGCCUAAUGGCUAUAAUUUCUCCCCUCUGAGUGAGUAGAAGCCCUGAAUCUGAAACGUCAGAACUAAAGAUGGGUGAUGAAAGGGCUGGUGCAGUGGGAACUCUGAGAAGCAACUUGUCCCAGGCCACUUGCACAUACUGUUCCUUCUGUCCUGGACACUCUUCCCUCCCUCCUGGACUAAGUGAACACCCCCUCAUCCUUCGGUUCUGACUCCCUCACUUCCCCAGAAAACUUGUUACCUGUGCCCAUUGUACCAUGGAGGAGGAUGGUGGCUACUCAAACGUCAAACCAAUGCAUUUCUAGUUCGCCAUAAACCAGACAGUCCCGUGGGCAUCCUCCUCCUGCUUUAAUUCUGCUGAGAUAAUGGAUGUGAUCAGAUGGGCUCUGCUCGGCUCUGAGUUUCAAGACUGACUUGAAUCUCCAGUGAGGCAACAGUCUGGAAAUUCAGGCCUCAUUGUGCCAGAAAGAAGUGUCUGAAUGCCACACCUCCCCUUUCAGACAAAGCGUCCGGCUCUGGGGACACAAGGCGCAGUAUAGGAGGGACGCUGGCCACGUGCGGACUGGGUCAGUGAUGGCAGGCUCAGAGACAGGCAGAGCCCGGCCUGAGCAUGGUUCUUCUUCUGUUUCUUCCCCAGUUGAGAGAGACCCCCGGGCGGGGAUGGAAACUCGUGGACACAACUUUUGGUUAAAUGUGGUGGAGUAGCCCAGGCAUUUACCUAAACCCCACUAAGCCAAUAGAGAAGGGGCAAGAGGACGGAGAGCAACAGAGGAAACAGCAGCCAAGGAGAGUCACCAGCAACACUUUGGAGAUGGAAAGCGGGUGGAGUUUUCCAAGUGGAGGAAAGUGAGGCCUAAGUACCUGGGUGGGCCAGGCCGAGGGAGAUAAGCUAUGGGACCCCUGGCACCAAGGCCCCGGGCCCUGGAGGGAGCGAGGGCUCCGGUGGCGAGGGCUCCGGUGGCGAGGGCUCCGGUGGCGUGGGCUGUGGCCUGGCCAUGUUUGCACAGCAAGCAGCGAGACCUCUAGGGCCUUCCUCUGCCCUCCCCACCCCAGACUGAGGUGACUCUGGAGAGGCUGAGGGUGGGAGGAGAGGCUUGAGAGCCCAUGUGGGAAGGCGAGGUCUGGCCCUUUCUCUGCUCCUCUCCUGGGAUGUUCCGCCCUCCAGCAGGAGGCUGGACAAUCCCACCCGAGGAAGCUGUUGGCUAGGAGGCCAGAGACACGGACGCUGACCCCUGGGGCUCCCCUAGUGAGGCUGUGGGCUGCACCCGGCUGCUCCACGUGAGGCACAUCCACAGCCAGGCCCUGCCCUCCCGCCAGAGUCUCCAGCCAGUGUUUUAAUGUUUUCCCCUCAAAUAUUACAUACGGCCCGGGGUCUAAUCUGAGAGGCAGAGACGGAGCGAACAAAGCAGACAGAAGGACUGGGGGAACCUGAGACGCAGGGAAGGUGAAGGCAGCACGGACCACGCCCAUGGCGCCCACCUAGAACCGCUGUCCUCAGCCAGACGGGAGGCCUCGCGUCCUCAUCACAGGAUGCCUCAGGAGGCCAGUUCAGAAGGAAGAGAGAGACAGAGAUGUGGAAACAAAGCAUCUGAUGGAAAGGUCGAGAGGGAAAGCUCUCCCUUGUCACUGCUCCUGCCAGGGCCCCACGCACUGGGCUGUCUCCCAUCGUCUCUACUUGUAGUGUCUCUACCUGUCUCUACUUGUUAUCACUCUCUGUCUCUGUGCUACUGUUCCCAGUGUGCUGAACCAGUUGGGGACACACGGGUUGAGGUCGCAGCUCUGUCCUCUCUGGGUUUGCGGGAGGAACCUAGCUUCUGCACUGCCAGGAAAUGUGUUGGUUCCCCGGGGAAGUCCCCCGUGUUCUCAGACUGCCCUCCCUCUCUCGGGCCUCGGGAAGUCCCCGGGGCUCCAGAUCAGGCACCACUGCACACUGAGGCCCCAGUCACUCCUGGCAGCACCCACCUCCCUUCCUGGCCCAUUCCCCCAACACCUGCCACCACCCCCUGAGCUCAUCUGGAGGUCUGAGGAGGGGAGGACAAGGAAGGGGCGUGGCCGCUGUGGCCGCUUCAGGUGACGCGGUAGAAGUGGCAUUUGUCCCGCACUGUCUGGGUGUGUAAGGAGACACUCGCCCCCCAAGGCAGCCCCUCUAAGUGUGCACUAUAGAUGGGGAGAAACCUCAGACUCCUGGGCGAAGCUGGGCAAGCACGGGGUCCCCGUGGGCUGCCUCUCCCUGAGGCUUUGGGCUGCCCUCCACUCAAACCUCCAACGGGGCCUGACUUGGUGGCACAACUGGACUCCACAAAGGGGGUGGGGGUGUCAUCCCUGAUGUGCUGUGUGCAAAGCUCCCACCAUGACCCUCAGCUGGCUGACUUGGCAAACCACAUUUCUACAACAAGGUAAACAGUGUUAUCGGCUCUGACUCUGCUGAACAGACACCGAGACCUGCGCUUUUGCGGGUGACAAGCAGGCGGUUUCUCCGCUGGGCAGGUGGGCCGCCAGCCAGUCCCAGCCCCUCUCUUUCCUGGGCAGGGAGAGCAACCGGCAUUCUGGACACAGCCGGUGCUGAAGUCUAGGCAGGUGCUGGGGGGUGGGGUUGACGCCUUUUCCAGGGACAGGGAUGUGGGUCCUGCUGGCUGCCGAGUCCUCAUCUUGGACUGUUGCACGGUCACUUGCUGCUCAGAGUCCUCCCACCCCUCAGAUUAGCGCCCAAGAGACAGCCAGUGCCUGCCCUGCGGUUCCACCCCCUGGGCCGUGUCUGCCUUUCCACCACCACCCUCCUGCUGUGCCCGACUGCAGACCUCACUUCUCCGAACAUUGCAGUGAGCAGGUGUCAACACUGUUCUUUUUCUUGGUGAAAUGGAAGGUCACAGCUGCACUCAGGCUUCUGGUAAGUGACAGGUAACUAAUGUUCCCACACAAAUUGCAAAUAAUUUUAGCCAAAAGCGGAUCCACUUGUUUUUCUGGCUGCCUUGUGUGGGUUUACGGAGAGCAGAGGCACAAUUCCUUCAGCUUUUGUGUUAUUGAUGAAAGCGUGUGGACUUGUGAUGGAGGCACGGGCCUGGCCAGUCCAGCUCCCUCUGGUCUGCAGGGCACCCUGGGGUCUCCUUGGCACCUGGCCUUUGCAGGGGUGCCCUGAGCCUCGGCCUGCCCCCACCACGCUCCCAUAUGCCCAGGAGGCCUCCUACCCCUGCUUCUCAGGGCUCUUGUCCUCUGUACAGCUUGCCUGACUGUACCCAAUCCUGUCCACUCUGCAGUUUACCUGGGCUUAACCUCAGCCCCUUAACACAGAGCUUUGCUGAAUGUGGCACCAGUCCACGGGCAGCUGGGUGUGAGAGGUUCUCCCACACCUGGAGGCCUCCUCGUGGCCCUGGACUCACUGUCCUGGGUGGCUCUGUGGAAAAGCUCAGAGCCAGCCGUGCCCCUCCAGGAGCCUCGCUUGGGAGGGGAGGAAGAGGGCCCUCUGGCCUGGCCCCCUUCAGGUGUACCUGUGACACCUGGAGUCUUCUCUGCAGACGUGGCAGCCUGGCAGUGACUGCCCUCCCUAGAGACCUGGGUUCUGGCCCCAUGGAGAUGACUGCAGGCUUCAGCCAGACCGCUGCCUUUUGUUGUUGCUGAGCAUCCUUCCUCCUGAGCCCCUGGUCCUUGGGCGAUGUUCCCCUGAGGGCAGAGAGCCUCCUGGGCCGUCAGCCGGGGCUGACUAGGGGCUGAGGACGCAGAGCCUGGACUCUGAGUCACUUCUGCCUGGGUUACGGCCAGGCUUCUGUCUGAAAGUCUGGGAAAGCCCAUUCGUUCAUUCAGCAAACAUUUCUCAGGCUUGCUAGGGGGCACCAGAGGCACUGAAGGAGUGAUGUGGAGUCUAUAUUCUGGGCUCACACCCAGAUUUCUGGUCAGCUGGCAUCGUGGGAGGCUUGCAUCCCCACUCUGAUUCUCUGAUCAGCAGCUUAGAAGUGUCUCCAGACAGUUGUGGUGACCUCAGUCUCAGUAGAAAUUCUAAUUUCCACCUUGGGGGACACAGGCUGCCCCAGGGACCCCCAGCCCCUGGUGGCUGGGAGAGUUCCAGCUCUGCAGACCCCGAGGGCGCGACCACAGGAGGUCUGAUCUGUGCCUCUCUGAGCCAGGCCUCGUCUGUGUCAGCAAAUGGAGCGUGGCAAUUGGCCAAAUUAUUCAGAUAACGAGAGCAGAGACAUCCCUGUGUCCCAAGCAUAAGUAUUUCAGGGAAAAUGGGGCUUCUGCUGCUGGCAACAGAGAGAAAGCUCUAUGUCCAGAGGAGGUGGGGAGUGUUCAGUGCUUUGAGGGGCAGCUGGAGGCGGUGGCGGGGCAGAGCCUCUUUCCCAGAUUGGGCACCACUUGCCCGGACACCCAAUGCCCAGGGCUCCUCUGCGGGCUUUGGUUCCGGGCUCCUCUCUGUCUCAGCUCUCGGGGGAGGGUCAGGAAAUAAGAGAAAGGACAAGGUCAGUUUAGACAGGGCCCCGACCAAUCUCUUUGGGUCUGCAUCCCCAAAUGAACCUGUCAACUGAUGGAACCAGCAAUCAGGAUGAGCAGCGCGCCAGGAACCCGUCAGACGCUAAGUGGGAACACAUCUGUGGAUGAACACGGAAGCCGCUGCGGGCUUUCUCCUGUGAUGCCACAGCGGGUUUGGAUUUUGGGGUGAGUGGUCCCCCCAUGUUUGCUUGCCUCCUUUUCUCUUCUAACCACCCUCCCAACUCAUUCAUUCAACAGCAAAUACCUGACCUGCCCACUGGACACCGUCCCUGGGGGCAGUGGACAAUACUGCACCUCUGUCGGUGUCAGAGCCUGGGGAGGCAGUCAGGGCGGCCCACAGCUCACGCCCUGCCAUCUGCAUCCAGGCGCUCCUCGGCACAAGCUCCAGCUGCCUGCAGUGGGGCCUGUACACUUGCAGACAUCCCAGGAGCCGGGGGCGGCGGGCUGUGCACACACCCUGCACCUGCCUCUUUGCUCAGGAGAACAGCGGCUUUCCCAGAGACCUGGCCCAGUAGAUGUUUACUUCAUGGGCACUCCUAGCUGCAUCUAGACACAUAGUCACCCCAAUAAAGUUGGGGUUCCUUUAAUAGAGGGAGAGGGAUGUACAGGGUCUGUCAGCAGUGGCAGAAAUUAGGCGAGACCUGCCUUCUUGGGGUGGGUGGUGGGCUCUGUCCAGAGGAUGUAACCUGGAAGCUAACACCUGCAGGGCGAGGAGCUGGAGGAGAUGCCCAAUAGAGCUCGGCCGCUGUUUGCCAGGCAGAGAGCCCUCAGCAGCCAGGCCGGGAAACGCGGGGCACCGGGUGCCAGCUGGGCAGUGGGCCAAGGCUGGAGGUGGCAGGUGUGGCCCCUGGAUGUGGGGCUCGGAGUGUGGAGCCCAGUUAUCAAAUGUUAACAUCUGGUUUAGCUGUCCUGGUCAGUACUGGCUGGAUUUCAGCCCAGGUCACCCCCAUAUCACAGAUGGAAGUCAAGCCCCGGAAAGACUCCCCGACUUGCCCGAUGGCCAACCAGGCCUGGGGCAGGUCCUCCAGGAUGCCCUGUGCGUUUGCCUCCUGAGCUCCUGCUGGCCGAGUCCCAGGCAUCCCUCCAGCUGUCCCCAACUCACUUUCCAGGCGGUGCUCAGGGUCCUGGGCUCCCUGAAGAGCCCCUGCUCCUUCCCUCCUGUGACGGGUCCAGGGAGCGGGUCCUGGGAGUCCUCCUUCCUGGUUUCCAGGCGUUUCCGUUGGAGGGUCCAGAUUUGUUCGGAUGGGCUUGCCUGACUCUGCUUCCUGGAGGGUCUUUGCCUACCACUCAGACCUCUGGACUCCUUCUGGCCACGCAUCGCUGACCUUCCUGCUGGCUUCAUGGGGCUUGGGCUGCAGCUGAAUGCCUGCCUUAUGAGAGGCGGCGGAGUGCGGAGGCAAGAGCAGGCACCUUGCUUCAGGUCCUGGGUGUGCGGAGCACACCCAACUUUAUGGGGUGUGGCCCCUGACAGCCAGCUCUGCCCCUGGGACACUUUCCUCUUUGUGUUGCUGGCGUUUGGUGAGGCGGAGCCCCCGUGUGUGUGUGGUGCAGAGCAAGUGCUCAGGAAGGGCAAGGUGAUAUUUUUAUUGGUACAGUUAUUAUUGUACCAACUCACUCCGCUGUUCAGUCUAGUGUGGGGGACACAGACUAGGGGCAGGUAGGAAGAGGGAAACACUGUUUAUUGAGCAUUUACUGGGUGUGGAGUGUUUUCAUUUGUUAUUUUGCUCAGCCUGGAAAACAACUCCUGAGGUUGACACUUUUGUCCAUUGUACAGACAGGGAAAGAGAUGCUCAGAGAGGCCAAGAGACUUGCCCAAGGACACAGAGCAAGUAAAGGGGACAGCUAGGGUGGGUGUUGAGGUCAGCUGCCAAACUGAGCCCCACUCUCAUCACGGUUCUGGGACUUGGGUUUUCCGUCGAGUGAAAGCAGGAGGAUUCCUCCUUUAAGGAAGAUUUGCAGUCUCGGAAACACUCAUCUUAUUUGGCUCCUGAGUGGUGGGUGGAAAGGACUGGCUCGUGUCCCCCUAAAUUCAUAUGCUGAAGCUCUAAUGCCCAGUAUCUCCAAAUGUGACCUCAUCUGGAGAUGGGGUCAUUGCAGAUGUAACUAGUUAAGAUGGGGUCAUCCUGGAGUAGGCUGGGCCCGUAAUCCGAUGACUAGUGUCCCUGUAAGAAGAGGGAAAUUUGGACGCAGAAACGCACACAGGGAGAAGCCACGUGAAGAUGAAUGCACAGAUGGGGGUGAUGCUUCUAUAACCCAAGGAAUGCCAGGACUUUGGGCAAACCCCCGGAAGCUGGAGAAGGGCCUGGAACAGAGUCUCCCUCAGAGGGAACCAACCCUGCUCUCAGACUUCCGGUCUCCAGAACUGAGCAAGUCUCUGUGUUUCAGCCGCCCGGUCUGUGGCGCUUUGUUACAGCAUAAGCGUCCAAACUUAGCUUUAAAACAGUCUGAACCUUAUCAGCGCAUGACAAGACAAUUCUUCUGCAAGUUAUCAUCCCAAUGGGAACUUGAAAAAGAGCAAAGCUGUUUUUGCAUAGAGAAGCUGGGAUAAAUAAUAACAGGGUUCCUAGUAUUUUCCUUUUUUUGUCUUCGCAAAUUUUUAAUUUCGUUGAAAAUUUCUAGAUAAUCAAAGAUCACUCACUAAUCAAGAACUUAGAGGCAAUCAGGCAUCUUGGAAAUGACAUUUCAGCUGACGUUCACAGCCACAAGCUCACUGUGGACACAGAUCUGCCGGAGACGUGGCCGGGACACAACCCACAGCAUCUGCAGCCUCAUUUGACAUGUGCAAGAACUGAUUUUUCAAAAAUGAGACAUGCUAGUUAUAAUUCAGUUUGGUGACUACGUUCUCACAGCCCUGAACACUUAGUGGAAAAGAUAGUGACCCAUAAAAGCAUGAAGAGGAAAUUUAAGAAGCUCAAGUUCAUUAGAUUAAUUCAGAGAAAAUAAACGCAAGCUUGCUCUGCCUGUGCUGUAUUUCACGCUGUGCUCACAAUACAGGAGCGAUAAACAAUUUUUAUACCAAAGUUAUCAGAUCUGUUCAAUGUCUAAUGGUGAACUGUGACAUGUAAUGUUAAAUGACUUAUUUCUUUUGGUAAUCCUUGCAUAAUUUUCCCGUGUUUUCAGGGCACAUUGAUAUUCUUUGUCUUGUUCAAAGGUCUUAAUAUUUUAGGCUUUUUGGGAGCCUUUCCUUUUUACUGCCAGCUGUGUGAAAUUGCCUUUCUUUGCUCCUGGGCCUGUAGCUUAGAACAGCGUCUACACUCCGGGGUGGUGGUGGCCCCAGCUCCGUUUUGACCCUCUCGGAGGUGGAGCCCCCUCCAUAGCACUGGGGAUUUUUCUUACCGAGUGGGCAUGUUGAGAUUCAAAGCACAAGGGGGCUUUAAUUUCCUUCUUAGAUUCCUAUAGAAGUGCCUCCCAGGAUCCACCAACCAAUACAAACAGGUUUGCCUUUAAAGCGGAGGCUGUCUAUUCCCUUGGGCAGGGGACCUGUCCUUCUGAGUUGGCUCUUCUCCUGUGCUCCCAGGACUCGCGACCGGCUGAGGCACUAUCCAAGGGCCACACUUCCCAACCCACUGUGGUGUCUCUGGAAAGGAAAUGAGUGCUCCCUUCCAGACGCACAGACCUGCCAGAGAAACCACGACAAACACGGAGGCGCCAAGAGCAGCGCUUGCAGAGGAAAAUCACAGAAACGGGCCCUGGCAGGUGCACAGACUCCUGUCUGGGUGACCGGUGGUCCCAGUCAUUUAAGUGGAAUGUUCGUCCUCCCUGUGGCAGUGAAUGGCUCCCACCUGUCCAGCCCAGGCCUGCGGGGUCCGUCAUGGAGCCUGAGGCCACAGCUGUCCCCACUGUGAUCUUCAAUGAUUACACAACGAGUAGUUGUCAACGCCAUGUUUAACUCACUAACCAACAACAGACCAUGUCCCCUGAACACCUGUGUGAGUCUGACAAUAAGACUAAACCUUUGGGGGGCUUCUGGGCUGUGCAGAGCCAGCUACCUUACAGUGAGGGUCGUUACAAAUGCACUGUGACAACAGUUUACAUCUUCCAACAGUGGGCGAUGCAGCUCAGGUUGGCCAUCAGGAAUUGCUCUAGCAUGCCACCAAAGUCACUCGUCUUUCCCGUGUUCUUUCACAUCUGAUCACAAUUCUGCAUGCUGCUUACUCCCACGCCUACGACUCCAGUGAGAUCACUCACCUGUCUGCCCCCUUGUUUCUUCAUUGAGUGCUCAUGUCCCAAACCAAGCGCCUUGUGUGCCCCACCCAGAACCCCGAGCUCACUCAGGCGAGGUGGCCCAGGUUCUCACAGUGGCUGUGGCACAAACCCUGGUGUCAUCUUGAUUCAUUGGUCUUUCUUGUACCCACAUUUUCCAGCAAAGGCAGUUGGCUCUACCUUCAAAGCAUAUCCAGACCCAGCCACAGCUCACCACCUCCACGGCCGCCUCCCUGCCCUGGGUACUGCAGUCACCUCCUGCAGGGUCUCCUUGCUUCUGCCAGGUGUCCUUCAGCUGCCACCCAAUUCAUCAGAGUAAAGCUGCUGUCUGGUCCCAUGCUUUCUCCUUGACUUCAUCUGCUUUCCCUCCAACUUCAUCUGCUGUCCCCGGCUCCCUUCUUUCCUGCCACACGGCUUCCCACUGUCCUUGAACAGGCCAGGAUGGCUCCAACCCCAGGGCCUUUGCACUUGCUCUCACUCCAGAUAUCUGUCCUUUUCAGGGUCAGCAAAGGUGGAAAUCCUUAUUGGCUCUCUGGGAGGACAGGCCACAGGAUAACGGGAAUGAUCAGAAAUAGAAACACAUCAAUUAAUAUAGCAAAAGAGUGUAUUGUAUUUAUGCACUUGUAUGUGUGCCAGCUUCUGACUUAUUUCAAGAUGUUAAGGUUUAUGGAAAACCCCACAAAUAAUUUCUAUGCUAUUUGCCAGUAAUACAGAUUCCAAAACUAAAAAGAGGAAAUAUUGGCAUAAUAAGAACCACUCUGGGUUAAAAGACCCUCUGACUGGUCUUGGCUGUCCCGACAUGGACCAGCCUGUCUCGAUGGACGGGGUGGGCUGGAGAGGAGACUUGAGCGCCAGCCGGGCCUGCCCCGAGGUGGGGGUCCCUUAGGGCUUGUCCCCCAGGAGAGCAGACCGCAGAGCGAGGAGGCAUGGACAAGGCUUUCUUGGCAGAGGAAGUAGCGCCUUGGUUUAUGUUCCAGGCGAGGGGACUUCCAGAGCCUUUCCAGUCUAGUGGGAACCCGAAAUGAGCAACACUGCGGGCUUUCUCGUCCCUUUUGAGAAGCGGCUCAGAGCCUGGCCCUACUCACUUUCUGCGGGUCCACCCCAGACAAAGCCACCAGACUUGUGCGCCGUGGGGAGACUCAAAAACACGUCUGGCAUGUUUACGUGAGCCCGAGAAAAAGGACCCAAAGCUUUCUCGGAGCUGAGGUUUAAACUUCAAGUUCUAUGUCUGCUGUGAAGGCACAGAAGACGCUCUCAGUGCAUGUCAUUCUCUGGGGAUGGGGGCCAGUUUAUUGUCGAGGGCCCUUUCUUUGAAGAUUCUGCUGCGAUGUUGCUUGGGUUUCCCUUUUAAGGUUGGAUGAACAAGGGGCAAAUUUUCUGAGACCAGACUGCUUUCCUGUCUGAGUUGUUUUUGGGGCAGUGGGCAAGGACAGUGGGUUAGCCAGGCCCUCCUGCCUUCCAGGGACGUCCUGAUCUUCCCGGAAGUGUCCCCUGGGCCAGGCUGACCUGGCCGGGCCGCAGGGCUGGAUCCAUCUUGUGGCUCCAGGUGAGCACAGCUCACACCCAUCUCACAGCCCUGCACCUUGUUCUGGGGCCCUGUGCUCUCCUCCUCACCAAGCAGCUGCUUGGGCGUGGUCUCAUGACCCAUUGGCCCUUUCUAACCCUUUCCCCUGGAGGCUCAGUGAACUGCCUUAGUAUCUCUGUGCCCAGAGCAGACUUGGCUCCACCUUCUGGCCACUUCUGUCCCCCAGCCACACUGGUGCUCGCUGGACACUGGGCCCUGUGGUUGGCUGGUGGGUGCGUCCACCUGCCUGGAGCCAAAGCCUUGCUCAGGUCUGCGGCAAAGUCACUUUGUGUCCCCUCAGAAAACUGCAUGUCAUCUCAGUGGGAACAGGAAUGCCCCUCAGUGGGAACAGGAAUGCCCCUGAGCCUGUUGAAUUUCUGAAAUAGCCCCAAAUCUGUCGCAGAAGAAGAAGAAGAAAGAAAACUGGGGUAGCAGGAGUGUUUGAGGAGAAAAUCACUGAGAGUUCUCCAGAAUGAAUGAAAGAUGCUUGUUCACAGACUCAAGAGAUCCAGUAAAUUCCAAGCAGAAGGACUGAAAAUGCAACACAGUGAGUGGCCCCGUGGCUCAGAAGGUGGGGUCCAGGCCCACCCACCUGGGGCCGGCGCCGCGUGUCCAGUGGCUGUGCAGGGAUGCGGCCCACAGCUCAGAGGCUGACCCACGGAGGGUUGUUGCCUUUAGAGGGCGGCAGAGCUAUGGCCUGCAUGUGGGAGAGCUGGGGGGCAGGGACCACGUCUUGUGGGGUUCUUGAGCUUAAAGGUUGUGGAGAGGAGCUGCAGGCGGAGGCGACCGAGGAGAGAUGGCGCUGUGGGACCCCGAGCCACUCCAGCUGUGGCAGCAGCAGCAGCAGCAUCCCAUUCUGCCCCGCGGCAGGUAAGGAGGGCUGAAGCUGGCUGUUCAGUUCAGUGACCACAGGUCACCUUUGCGAGCGCCGCUUCUUAGAGACAUAAUAACUCUGAAUGACCCACUUUCUUUCGGAGAUUUAUUACAGCUUGUUGUUAUUUUAUUAUUACUGUCUGCAAUUUUCUCUUCUACUGCUCCUGGGAGCAGUAAGUUUAAAGUGCAGUCCUUCAGAAAAGGCUUGAAUUGGGCAUACAUCAUCAUCUCCGUAGAUGGCCUGCUCACAGUGAGCGUCGUCUCAAGGUUUAGAAGGGGACGCUGUGGCUGUUUCCACCCUGGCUGCCCCUUUUCGCACAGGUUGUUCCCUUGGGGGCUGCGGGGGUGGGUGUGUGCGUGUGUGUAUGUGCUCGUGUGCGGGUUGUGUGACCUUGGAGGUAACUUCAUUGCUCUAAGCCUGGGCGUCUUCAUCUGUUGGGGGCAGGGUGACGAGCUCUGCCUUGCUGGGCUCUGGUAGCUUAGCAUAUGGCUGGAUGGGAAGUGUCUGCAUUUUUCUGGGUGUUGGGCUGGAGUCUGGGAGACAGGCCAUGGCGUGUGUGCGUGACUGUCCUGGUGGCCUGGGAUGGUGGAAGGAUGACAAGGGUGGAGUCCUUUGCAUGUGCUGGAUCUGGAGAAACAGGAAGCAACGCUGUCAGAAGUAGGUGAGGUGUCACAGCCUGGCUCCUCUCUGCUGCCCUUGUGCCCUGAGUGUCACCUGCACUGAGACUUGGAAACUUGCCAGAAGCCACAGUCCAGGUCAGGACUGGCACUUGGUUCUUUCCCACCCUGGCUUCACGCGGUCUCCGAAGCACGAAGCAGAACCCUGAGAGCAGCACCUCGGUCAGCAGAGUGGUGACCAGAGCCCCCCGGCUGGUGCCUCAGUGGAUCUGACUGGUGACAGCUGUACACAACGUUAAAGAAGGGCUGACUGUUUCACCCUCCUCACCCCAAAAGCAUCUGGAGGAGAACCAGCUGUGCAUUCUCCCGUGACUCCAGGCUUGGCAGUACGCCCGGGCACCUGCCCUUGCCCCCAGGAACCCUGCCCUUAAAGAUGAGUGUUCGGGUAAGAUGGGUGGAGCUUUCUGAACAGAGGAGGCCCAGAUGCUAUCUCAGGGCGUUCUGUUCCUCCGUGCACCCGGAACUGCCUCACCCUUCCUGCUCCUCCCGCUGCCCCCUUCUAGCCCCUCGUGGCCGUGAUGGCCGUAGGAGACCCUGUGCAUGUACCCGCCCAUCCCAUACCUGUUCUGUGUGCCCCUCCCUCCCAGCUUUGUUGUGCUUCUAUGACCUGCACCUCCCAUGCUUUGUCAGAGAACCGUCCCCACCUGCAGGUGCAGGGAGCUGACAGUACUCGGGGUGGGGGCAGUGACUGGGCAGGAAGCCAGGACGGCUCUGGGCAAGACUCCACCCUCCAGAGUCCCCACGGAAUCCUCCUGGCUGUCCCCUUCCCGGUUCUGUUUCCUCAUUCCCUGGGGGUAGAUCCUUAUCAUGUACACAGGGAUGGCCUUCUCGGGGUCUGUGCCUGAACCCUGAAUCCUGAAUCCUGGAGUGUCUGUGGUCCUGGGACCCAGAGACUAAGGAUGUGAUUCUCAGCUGACCAGACGGCGACAAGUGCCCCUCCCUGGAGGUAGGUGGAGGGCUGACCGCUCCUGUGUGCUGAGGCAUUGCAAUUCCUGACUCCUCCCUUCAGUGAAUUGGGGUGGGGUACCAAUGCCAGGGGGUGGCAUAGCUUGUACAAUGCCCCUGGGAUUUGGGAGAUCCAAGGGAUAUGGGCACCCUACCCGAGCUGUGGAACUGGAUGGUGUUUGGAGGUGCCAUUAAUGCAACAAAGGGGAAAUGGUCAAACAAGACAGCAGUUACCAAGCUAAGGUGACAAGAGCAGACCAAGACCAGACACACUAGCCAGAGGCAGAAGGUCAGGGAAGCAUGAAUUUACAGUCACUUCCUCCACCAGGCGAGCUCCCGACAGGGAGGAGUGGGACUCUGAGGUGGGGCAUCUAGGUGAGGUCUUUAGGAAUGUUGGGCCCUAAUUCCCUGAGCCCUCUGGGACUGUGGCCACCCUGGAGGCCUGUACAAGGCAGAUGUCUGUCACUCUCUUUGGUGUCCAGCUCACCUCCUCCCCGGGCCACGAGGCUGCUUUCUCUGCCCUGAGCAGUGGCCUCCCAACUACCAACCUGUGAUGGUGCCCAGAUUCCCAGGUUCCCUCAGGGAAAUCAGUGGCAAUGACACUGCAUCACUUCCUCUGGGCUUGUGACACCUGCCCCUUGUUCUCAGGUGUCCCCCCAGCUCUGUCUCCCAGGCCGCCUCUGCUUUUUUGGGGGUUUCCUCACCCAACCCACACAGCCUCAGGAUUCAGCACAUGUUUCGGGGUAGCCCACCCUGCACUUGGCACCCCCACUCUGCCGUGCUGCAUUCCAGCACAGCAGGGCCCCAAAAGCACAGAGAAUGGCUGAGUCUCUGAAUAAGAUACAAACCGAAUACAUGGAACAGACAUUCUCAUCAACCACUGAUUACAUGUAAAGCUUCCCAGUGACUUUCGAGUCUUUGGGCCCUUUAGAUGGAAUGGGGAUGCAAGCUCUGGGUCCCUGGAAUGCCUUGGUGAUCCCACGUGGACGGCAGUCUGAUCGCAUAUUUGAUUUCCGUUCUCCCCUGAAAAUCCCCGGUCACCAGCACUUUCCUUGUGGGUGUGCAGGUAAUGCAAAGCUAUUUCUUGUUUCUCUGCAUCAACUUGAGGAUCACUAUUCACUAAAAAGAAAUUUGUUUGCCUUAUUAAUGUUGCUAAAUGGUUUUUCAGUGAUCUCAAGGCGAUGUUUAUAUGUGAGAAUGGUUUUCUUUUUAUUGUUGCUGCAUUCUGAAAGAACGCAUCUCUAUCCUUUCGGGAUUGCUGAAGGAAAGAAGAGCCCUGUCUGCUUAUCUGAGGGGGUCGGGGCGCUGGAGGGAACUCUGUGGGUGCAGAGACAUGCUGAUGUCACCUGGGGAGAGGACAGGGCACAGGCGGUGUGACUGCAGGGUCGGUUCAGUGAGAACCAGAGCCUUUUUGUGACCCUCCUUUAUAACGGCUGGCUAUGCAAAGUUACUUGGUUAAAUUGAGCAUUAUUACUAAAGACAGCAAAAUCCAAGCCCUUAUUUGAGUCCUAAAUUUGUCAGUUAGUAGCCACGUGACUGGUCACCUCAUCUCUCUGAGCCCCACUGUUCUUAUUUCCCGUCAUGAUAAAGAUGGUGAUGACACUGGUGAUAGGAUGGUGAUACCUUGCCUCGUGUCACAUCUCUGGAAAUGAGUGAAGACUAUCCAGAUGAGGAAAGCAAAGCACUGCUGGUGCUCAUUGACUGGCUUGUGAACAGCGCCUUCACUGGACACCCCAGAUCAACAUGCAGGUCCGAUGCCUGGGGGCCCACAUGGAAACGAGACUUGACAGUUCACACCGUGGAACUGUGUGCAUGGAGAGGAAGAAAAGGUGCCCAGGAUUCAGUGGGUUGACAUUUGCUGCUCGCGUAUUCUGAGAAUCUCCCCUGAGAAUAAAUCUAUUGCUUAUUAAAAAAAUAAAUUAUAAAGACUUCCUGGUAAAGAUGGUGUCAUGGACCCAGAUCUUAGAAUCUCCCUUCCCCAAUUCCUGAUGAGACUAAUAAAUAGUAGAAAAAAUUAGCAAAACAUUUUCCACUCUCAAAGACAGAGUUAUAAAUUCACACCACAGCAUUUGAGAACGGCAGCCAAGGAAAGCGGUAGAAGAUUCUCGUGCAGCAUCUAACUCCUUCACAGCUCCCCGGAGACUAUACUGGAAAACAAGAGUCAACAAAGUCCUAAUAGUUCUCACUUGAAUUCCCUAAUGUUGGGAGAGGUGGACAGACGGUGGGUGUACAGCCUGGAGAGAAGUUUCAAGAAAUCCUCAAAUUGGAGGCUCUUGCCAACCACGGUGCAAUCUCAAGGUCUAAGCAGAGGCAAGAAAAUUACCAAGUUUGACAUUUUCUAGGACUCCACGCUGAGUUAAGGAAAUGCCCAAACCAGUAUCCUGCCAAGCGGGCUGACACUCCCCUGAGUAACUGUGUGACAUUUAGCGCAAUCUCAGAAAAGACAGCAGAACCCGGGAAAUCCAAUACAGCCUCACAGAGCAAGAAGAAAGGGAAAUUUUAGAGACCUAAUAUCAAGUGAGUGCAAAAAUCAGCCCCUUUAUAGAACUAGAAAAUGAACUAGAAACAGAAUAUACACAGCUAAAAUUUAAUCAACUCUUCUGGAGGAAAGUCUUGAAAUAAUCGUUGUGAACACAUAGGAGCUGUACAGAGAUAUGAAAGCAAUUAGAAAAAACAUAAAAGAUUUGAUGGGUUGACUUAGAUGAUCCAAUAUGAAUAAAAUUUAUUAAUGUUAAUUAGAAAACCAAUCAAUGAACAGAGUUUUCAAAAAUGUAAUAAAAAAAUUCCUGAAGUUAAAGGAACCUGAAGUUAAAGAUUGAAGAUGCAUAACUAUGAAGUAGUCUAGAAAAAAUUCAUUAUUAAAUGGACACAUUAUUAAGCGGGCAUGUUUUGACUGAAUUAUUGAACUUUAAGUGAAAAGAAAAAUUAUUUAGGUUUUGAGGAAGAAAAUGAAAUUCAUAUACAAGGAGAAAAAAACCAGGCUGACUACAUACUUCUUAGCAAUAUUCAAUGUGAAACGACAAUUGAGCAAUUAUCUGGCGCGAUUAAAUUGUUACCCUAAAAUGUAAAGCCAGUAAAAUUGUUAUUAAGUCUAAAGGCAAUAGGAGGCAUUCUUUAAAAUCUCAAGAAAUAUAGAGCCAGUGAAUAUUUUAUUGAAAAAAAUAGUCCAGUGAAGCAAGUCAGUUGAUCCAAAGAUGAGUGAAGAGGCUAUGCUCAGGGUCGGAGGUCACUGGUCAGUGGAGCGAUGUCCAGAAAGUUCUGAGGGAAGGCGAGUGUGACCCAGGAAUUUUACACCCAGCCAACCUUUCUUUCAAAUACUAAAGCCGUAGACAGACAUUCUCAAGUGAGCAAACUGCAGAGAAGAAACCACCCAAGAAUCUUUCCUGAAAAAAUGUGACAGUGAAAUCCAGCCAAGCAGAAGAUGAAUAAAAACAGAGUGUAGAAAUGGACAAAAGAACUGGAGGAGUAUACUGAAUCCACGGAAAUAUAGUUCUAUAUGCAGGGAUUUCGAUGAUUGAGUUGAGGGUGAAUGCUAUAAAGCAGGAGAAAACAUAAAAUUAUCAAAAAUUUACAAAGAAGUGGGAGGUGGAGAUCACAGGUGGCGUAAGUGCAAUAUUCUCAUGGCUCCGAACUCCUAAUGUUUUGUGUGUUGUAAAAAAUGUUUUCGGAAUCCAAAUGAUCUUUUCUGGUGAAUAAACACUACUCGAGGUUCAGCAUUUAAUUGUUUCAUCCCAGUUUCUUUUUUAAUUUAUUUCAAGUAAAUUAAAUUUUAAAAAUUAAAUUAAAGUAAGUAUGUGUAGGAUGAAAAAAACUCAAUUUCUUUAUCUAUAAUCUGUCUAUAUCUAUCUUUAUCUAUCCAUCCAUCUAUUCAUCUACCAAUCUAUCUAUAUCUAUUAUGUAUCUACCUAUGUAUCCAUCCAUCAUCUACGUAUCAUCUAUCUACCUUCUAGCUGAGUGCAUGCAGUAUUUCCGUUUUGUAACACUGUAUCUGUCUAGCCUUCCUCUGUGCCUAUGUGUGCAUGCAGUGACAGAGAUUGAAAUCAUGGUAACUAUCAUUGUGUAUUAGUCUGAUGGGUCUGCCAUAUCAACCUACCGCAAACUGCGUGAAUUUAACAAUAGAAUUUUUUUUCUCACAGUUUGGAGGCUGGAAAGUCCAAGGUCAAGGUUCUGGCUGA
rnacentral:lncRNA from 1 species